rnacentral:tRNA from 1 species
AGUGUCGUGGUCCGCCUGACCGGCACGGCACUCCUAAUGCCGGGGUCGGCGGUUCAAGUCCGCCCGUCGCUG